CCUAACCAAAGCAUUUACUAGUCCCAGUAUAGGCGAUAGAAAAGACACCAUUGGAGCGAUAGUGACCACGUACCGUAAGGGAAAGAUGAAAUAGUAAUGAAAGACAUAAGCUAAAAACAGCAAAGAUCAGCCCUUGUACCUUUUGCAUCAUGGUCUAGCAAGAAAAACCAAGCAAAAUGAAUUUUAGUUUGCCAUCCCGAAACCCAAGCGAGCUACUUACGAGCAGCUAAUCUUGAGCGAACCCGUCUCUGUUGCAAAAGAGUGGGAUGACUUGUCAGUAGAGGUGAAAAGCCAACCGAGCUGGGUGAUAGCUGGUUGCCUGUGAAACGAAUUUAAGUUCACUCUUAAUUCUUCUCCAAGGAAAAUCAGAACCCUAAUGAAGCGAAUUAAGGGCUAUUUAAAGGAGGGACAGCUCCUUUAAAAAAGAAUACAAUCUCUACGAGCGGAUAAAUAAUCACAAUACAAACUUACUGUGGGCCCUCAAGCAGCCAUCAACAAAGAGUGCGUUAAAGCUCUGUGCUCUAAAAAUACAAGAACUAUAUGACUCCCUCAUCAUUAACAGGCUAACCUAUGACAAUAGGAGAAUUAAUGCUAGAAUGAGUAACCAGGGUUCUCCCUCUUCGACGCAAGCUUACAUCAGUACAUUAUUAACAAGCCACCAUAUACGA
rnacentral:rRNA from 1 species